CCACCUGAAAUAUUCCUAUUUUUUAUUUAUUUACUCGUUUCUACCCGCCGGAAGGCGCUGGGCCCGCGGGUCCCCCGGCACAGGGGGUGUUCUGUCCGCUGUGCCGUCCGGCACUAGCUCCUCGUGCUUAUGGUUUGAUAUCUCUUUAUCCCUCCCAUACGGCGGGGCUCAACUGUUAAACUGUGAAAACAGAUUUAACUGAAUAUUUUUAGCGGCGUUUCUCUUGUGCUCUCUUUAGGGCAUCACCUGAUGGGAGGCUGGGGCACGUGUGAGGGGGCCGCACCGGAGCUCAGGGUGGCCGAGAACCGUGCGAAGGGAACAAAGCUCGAAGGGAACAAAGCUCGAAGGGAACAAAGCUCGGGGUCCGCACGAGCCGCCUCCCACGAGUUGUGCUGAGGGGGAACAGCCGCGUGAGGCCCCUCCAGGAGAACACCGGUGCCUGUGGAGAGGAGAUUAAAGGGAUAACCGGUGCAAGAGACACAGGGAGAUGUCGGGAGCAUCUCAAGCAGCGUGGAUGAGGUUGUGACCGUGAGCCAACGAGGGGAGAUGGGCAAACACUCCGUUCUGUUGCAAGUGUCCUGGGGCUUGCUGGAGCAGCAGGAGUGGCCAGAAGAAAAGAAAAAAGCUGUUGGUGCUGCUCUGAAAAUCCCUGUUUGGAAAGGAUUGGGAAGGUGGAAACUUGGAAGCCCACAAGUGAAACGGGGCUAUAAGAAAAUGAUUUAUUUUCAGGAUCUGGAUGUAGGAAUUUCAAACAUCAGAGGUAGUUUGGGGCAGGGUAUAACAAGAAUUAUCUGUACAGUUCUUUAAUUGUUAAUCCCUUCUCACUGCUUGUUUAAAAUAUAUUUUAUGUGACCUCAAUUAAACUUAUUUGUGUUUAAACUUGCUCAGUUUGGUUUUCAUUAUCUUAUAAGGCUUUGAAAGUCACAUUGAAAUAUUGUCUAUUGGAGACUGGAGAGGCCACAGUGCAGCACCUACUCCCUUCCCUGGGCUUGGGGGAGGUGAAGCCUGCAAAAAACAUCUGGAAAAGGCUGAUGAAUAUGUAAAAUCCAUGGAAACUGGUGGGGAGGGCAAGAUUGUCAUCAGGGAUUCAGGCAAAAAUGGUGUUUAAAUGCAAAAGUCAGAACAAAGGAGUGUAUUGCUCCCUCCAAAAUAGAGAUGAGAGAUUGGAUCUCAUUUCCAUUUGGAUUCCAUACAGUCUGUA
rnacentral:lncRNA from 1 species